rnacentral:rRNA from 1 species
AGCGAACAGGAUUAGAUACCCUGGUAGUCCAUGCCGUAAACGUUGGGCACUAGGUGUGGGGGACAUUCCACGUUCUCCGCGCCGUAGCUAACGCAUUAAGUGCCCCGCCUGGGGAGUACGGCCGCAAGGCUAAAACUCAAAGGAAUUGACGGGGGCCCGCACAAGCGGCGGAGCAUGCGGAUUAAUUUGAUGCAACGCGAAGAACCUUACCAAGGCUUGACAUUCACCGGACUACCUCAGAGAUGGGGUUUCCCUUCGGGGUCGGUGGACAGGUGGUGCAUGGUUGUCGUCAGCUCGUGUCGUGAGAUGUUGGGUUAAGUCCCGCAACGAGCGCAACCCUCGUUCUAUGUUGCCAGCACGUGAUGGUGGGGACUCAUAGGAGACUGCCGGGGUCAACUCGGAGGAAGGUGGGGAUGACGUCAAAUCAUCAUGCCCCUUAUGUCUUGGGCUUCACGCAUGCUACAAUGGCCGGUACAAAGGGUUGCGAUACUGUGAGGUGGAGCUAAUCCCAAAAAACCGGUCUCAGUUCGGAUUGAGGUCUGCAACUUGACCUCAUGAAGUCGGAGUCGCUAGUAAUCGCAGAUCAGCAACGCUGCGGUGAAUACGUUCCCGGGCCUUGUACACACCGCCCGUCAAGUCACGAAAGUUGGUAACACCCGAAGCCGGUGGCCUAACCCCUUGUGGGAGGGAGCCGUCGAAGG